rnacentral:rRNA from 1 species
GAUGAACGCUAGCGGCAGGCCUAAUACAUGCAAGUCGGACGGGAUUCAGGAGCUUGCUUCUGAUGAGAGUGGCGCACGGGUGCGUAACACGUAUGUAACCUACCUUUAUCAGGGGGAUAGCCUCUCGAAAGAGAGAUUAAGCCCGCAUAAAAUCACAGCACAGCCUUGUGUAAUGAUCAAAUAUUUGUCGGGUAAGGAUGGGCUUGCGGAACGUUAGCUAGAUGGCGGGGUAACGGCCCACCAUGGCGACGAUGUGUAGGGGACCUGAGAGGGUGACCGGCAACAUGGGGAGUGAGAUACGGCCCGGAGUCCUACGGAAGGCAGCAGUAGGGGAUAUUGCACGAUGGGCGGAAGCCGGAUGCAGCAACGCCGCGUGAGGGAUGGCGGCCUGCUGGUUGUAAGCAGUUAUCGCAGAUGACGAUGUGUGAGUGACGGUAAUGUGUAAAGAAGGACCGGCUAACUACGUG